GUUAUGUGCCACGACUGUGUGUUCCUUUAAAUGACAAUAGUGUGUAGAUUGUGCCUUUUUGUUAGUUGCUUUUAAGCAGUAAAACCCUCCUUGUUACUCUAUCUUGCUUUGACCUGCUUGCAACCUGCACUAGCUUUUAAGCAGUCUCACCAACCUUCUAGGUGUACAUCGUCGUCAAUUAAUUCUCCAGCACCAACACCUGUUAUUGGCUAUCACUAGUGACGUUGGAUUGAGAAUAUUCAAAACCGGCAAUUUGCAUCAAUUACACUCAUACUCUUCAAGAAAAUACAGGGUUUUGAUUUCUCUAAUUGUCAAUCCUCAUCCAAGAUCGGUUUUUGAAGCCUGGGAAAUGCGUCAAGGCCUUUUAAAUAGCUUGUUCUCUUCUGACCCUGCCGCUUCAUAUAGGUUGAACUGGUAAUCUACCUCUUCCAAUCAUCCAAAAGAGGCUCCCAGAAGAUCAGCAUUAGCAGCCACCUAUAAAUCGAUCCUUGGGAGGUACCAAAUUCCGCUUAUCCAAGAACCAACUCAGGACAAGAAAACAACACUAAGAAUUCAAUUUACCAAGUACUGCAGCCUCCAAAACCCAUCUAACCUUCACCAUUUGUUGAACUAACCCAGACCCAAAGCUGCACUGAACAAUACCAAAGCUCUAGGUUCUGAUCAGUCUGCUACAAGACUACGGGAACUCAGAAAAUACAUUCGAGCUAAACCAGGCACACUUCAGGUCUGAUCGGGUCAACAGAUGAAGUGUAGCCCCGGUAGUUGUGCUUGUUGGCUUGUAAAUGUUUCUUUAUUCCACGUCUUUUGGUUUUUUUCUUAUUUUUUAUCUUAUAAUUUUGAAACAGGAGAUCUAUUCAACUCGAGGGAUCGGUGGGGGAUUCUUUACUCUCGCUGUGCUGGUUUCAUAAAUACGUGCUGGUGAUGACUGGAAAGUGCUGCAAAGGGUGUUGAAGCAUGCUUGAUGUGUGAAAAUUAUAGUUUGUAAAAGACUAGUUUAUACAAAAGUUGACCUCAAUUGACUUUUCUAGUUUUUUGGUUGGUUUUUGUAGUUUUGCAUAGGUAACUGGAGCUUAUUUUUGAACUGUUAUAUCAGAUGGGAAAACUUAAGUGUAACACGCGCUAAUUGUUGAACUAUUAUAGCAGAUGUGCAAAUUUUAUGAGAUUUUCGAAAUGAAUGCACAUAUUUGCGUAGAAGAACUUGAUCUGUAGUA